GACGAACGCUGGCGGCGUGCUUAACACAUGCAAGUCGAACGGAAAGGCCCUGCUUUUGUGGGGUGCUCGAGUGGCGAACGGGUGAGUAACACGUUAGUAACCUGCCCUUGACUUUGGGAUAACUUCAGGAAACUGGGGCUAAUACCGGAUAGGAGCUCCUGCUGCAUGGUGGGGGUUGGAAAGUUUCGGCGGUUGGGGAUGGACUCGCGGCUUAUCAGCUUGUUGGUGGGGUAGUGGCUUACCAAGGCUUUGACGGGUAGCCGGCCUGAGAGGGUGACCGGCAACAUUGGGACUGAGAUACGGCCCGGACUCCAAAGGGAGGCAGAAGAGGGGAAUAUUGCACAAUAGGCGGAAGCCUGAUGCAGCAACGACGCGUGCGGGAUGAAGGACUUCGGGUUGUAAGCCGCUUUCGCCUGUGACGAAGCGUGAGUGACGGUAAUGGGUAAAGAAGCAACGGAUAACUAAGUG
rnacentral:rRNA from 1 species